AGAUGUGAUGGCGCCGAUUCCGAAGACUGUGGGGCGGAUCAAGCUAGACUGCCCUCUACGGCCCAGCUGCCCACUGGAGGUCGCUGCUGUACCCAAACUUUGCAAGGAAUUCGGUCCAGAGGAUUACGGCGAAGAGGUAAAAGCGACCCCCAGUUUCCCCCAGUCCUGCUCAUUUUGGUCACGUCUCUUUCAAGUCAGCUGUGCAGAAACCCGCGACGGAUGGGCGCCAGACGGGGCUCUGGAGGCUUUGGGGAGUUGUAGUCUCCGGCCAUGCCCUUGAGGAUGCCUAAGGGCAAGUGAGGAGCAGGGGACCAGGAGGAUGAUCCUCCUGUAACAGAUGCUCGAAGUGGGUAGAAUUGAGCAGACAAGGGUCUCUGAGUUCCUUGGGAAAAGAUGGAGGCCGGGCGUG
rnacentral:sRNA from 1 species